rfam:Cyanobacterium stanieri PCC 7202, complete genome.
ACGUCCUUAGUUCAGUUGGUAGAACGUCGGUCUCCAAAACCGAAUGUCAGGGGUUCAAGUCCUCUAGGACGUG